GGAUAAUCAGUUAGAUGGUGUGUGUGCGUCCUUGAGAACUGUCCACAUAUAUAAGGUGUGGUUCCACAGUAAAACCAGUAAUCUGCACAUUUACUCCUCACGAUGAAGCUGAUUCUGUCUUUCACUCUCAUCUGGAUUCUCUCCAGCACAGCUGGAGCACUUCAGUGUCAAAGUUGCACAGAUCAGCAGUGUUCAUCCACAGUAAACGUAACGGUUCCUCAGAGACAAUGUGUAUAAUUUCCAUUCAAGCCAUUUCAUCCGGAACUCCACCACUGCAAAUCUCCAAGGCGUGUGCAUCGUCCUCCCUUUGUCCAGACACAGGCUCUCAGACAUUUUCAGUCAACUUGGGUGCUGCGAGUGCAGUUGUAUCUGCUCAGUGCUGCAACACAGACAGCUGCAACACAGACACUCUACUUUCCACGACUACAAAACCUUCCAGUGGAGCCUCCUGUAUCCAACUGGGUAUGAUCCACCUGUUGCUUGGACUCCUUAUGUUUACCCUCUGUUAAAAUACAGAAACAGCUGAGACUACCCACCUAUGAAGCCGAACAGAAGCACCCGUUGAAGCCUGGAUUUAAGUUUACUGCUCACUGCAAUCUUUAGUUGGCUUUCACAGGGGAAGGGAAAAUCCAAAUGUAGAAAAAAAGGGGGAUUGAGUCUGUGUGAAGUUGAGGUGGAAUGAGUAGGCAGCAAUGUAAUAGACACACAUACAGUACAUGUAACACAUGGGAACACUACUUUUGCCCACUAUAAUCUGGAUUUACAUUAAUUUAAAUAAUUAAUUUAAAUAAUUACGAUAAUUUUUCUUUGCAAUCUCUUCUUUGUUUUAUCACAUAAAAUCAAUAACAUGUUGCAGUAGUUUAAUGUAAAGUGGUGACAUCUACUGUACUGUCUAAUAAAGCU